rnacentral:rRNA from 1 species
CAAUAGCGUAUAUUAAAGUUGUUGCAGUUAAAAAGCUCGUAGUCUGAUUUUUGGGGGGCAUGGCGCGUCCAGGCUAUUGGUCUGCGCACGGCGCUGUGUCUGCCAUUACCUUCGGAGGAGGCGUAGUGCUAUUAGUUUAGUGGUGCGUUUAUUCCGAUAGUUUACUUUGAGAAAAAUAGAGUGUUCAAAGCAGGCGAUUGCCUUGAAUACAUUAGCAUGGGAUAAUGGAAUAGGACGUUGGUUCUAUUUUGAUGGUUUACGGACCGACGUAAUGAUUAAUAGGGACAGUUGGGGACAUUUGUAUUCCAUGGCUAGAGGUGAAAUUCUUGGAUUCAUGGAAGACAAACUACUGCGAAAGCAUUUGUCAAAGAUGUUUUCAUUGA